rnacentral:rRNA from 1 species
GAUGAACGCUGGCGGCAGGCUUAAUACAUGCAAGUCGAGGGGUAGCAAGAUUGUAGCAAUACAAUUGUUGACGACCGGCAAACGGGUGCGGAACACGUACACAACCUUCCUACAAGUGGGGAAUAGCCCAGAGAAAUUUGGAUUAAUACCCCGUAACAUAGCGAUGUGGCAUCACAUUGCUAUUAUAGCUUCGGCGCUUGUUGAUGGGUGUGCGGCUGAUUAGAUAGUUGGCGGGGUAACGGCCCACCAAGUCUACGAUCAGUAGCUGAUGUGAGAGCAUGAUCAGCCACACGGGCACUGAGACACGGGCCCGACUCCUACGGGAGGCAGCAGUAAGGAAUAUUGGACAAUGGACGCAAGUCUGAUCCAGCCAUGCCGCGUGAAGGAUUAAGGUCCUCUGGAUUGUAAACUUCUUUUAUAAGGGACGAAAAAAGGUCUUUCUAGAUCGUCUGACGGUACCUUAUGAAUAAGCACCGGCUAACUCCGUGCCAGCAGCAGCCGCCGUAA